AUUGAACGCUGGCGGCAUGCUUUACACAUGCAAGUCGAACGGUAACAGGCCGCAAGGUGCUGACGAGUGGCGAACGGGUGAGUAACGCAUCGGAACGUGCCCAGUCGUGGGGGAUAACGCAGCGAAAGCUGUGCUAAUACCGCAUACGAUCUAUGGAUGAAAGCGGGGGACCGUAAGGCCUCGUGCGAUUGGAGCGGCCGAUGUCAGAUUAGGUAGUUGGUGGGGUAAAGGCUCACCAAGCCAACGAUCUGUAGCUGGUCUGAGAGGACGACCAGCCACACUGGGACUGAGACACGGCCCAGACUCCUACGGGAGGCAGCAGUGGGGAAUUUUGGACAAUGGGCGCAAGCCUGAUCCAGCAAUGCCGCGUGCAGGAAGAAGGCCUUCGGGUUGUAAACUGCUUUUGUACGGAACGAAAAGGUUUGGGUUAAUACCCUGGGCCGAUGACGGUACCGUAAGAAUAAGCACCGGCUAACUACGUGCCAGCAGCCGCCGUAA
rnacentral:rRNA from 1 species